rnacentral:lncRNA from 1 species
AAAACUUCUGCAUUAGACCUUUCUCGCCAUAAAUUAAUAUUAAUAGUGUUUUACAAAAUUGACAACAAAUUUUAAGAACUACAAAUAAUAGCUGAUAAAAGCAUCCAAUAGUGUUUUACAAAACCAUCCUCCCAUCGAAUAUUACAAGUACAUUCCUUAAUAAGAAAUCAACAACAUAUAUGUUAAAAACGACAUAGUGCUUCAGCUUUAUCAUAUUCAUACAUAUGAUCAAAAAUCAAAAAUGCAUUCUACGCCUUCAUGCUACUCCUUGGUCAACCCAUUAUUUAAGAACGUCCCUGCCAUUAAAAAGCACCGAAUCACUUUAUGAUUCUAGAAAAAAUGAGAGGAAAUUCAUAUAUAGAGAGAGGAGAUACACACACAACCCACACUGUACUGCAGAAUAAACAGCUCUACCAGCAAACUGGAAGCCCAUAUUUCUUAGUAUCAUUGGCAUCAUUUGACAUCAUGAAAAACUUAUGUGUUUGUUGAAUAACACUGGCCUACAAACCUUUUAACUCUUAAAAUGCAUUUGAACAAACAGCAAGAUGCUGAUUUCAGGGAGACACAAUGGUAUUCCAAGGUUCAUUUUUUGAUCAAACGGAAUGAUGUUUCUUUUGACUAACUUAAGAACUUACCAAGCAGCCAGAUAGAUAAAAUUAGUUUCUCACGAAACAAUCACUCUGUCUUACAAUAAAAUAAUAAAUCAAGAUGGACAACAAGAUGAAAUAGAUAUUCCAGAACUUCUAGCGGAUCAUUUGGAUUCAUCAUUCUUAAAUGAAAGGCAAAGAAGACAAGGAGCUCUCGUCUCCGCUGGAUCUGUUUUCAGGAGUAACUGGCGAAGUGUUCAGCACUUAACGGGACCUCAAACACUUUCAGCAAAAUAAUCUCUUAGGAGUUGAGGAUCCCAUAACCCUUCAGUUCCCAGUUUUCUUCCCCCACACCCCUUCCAAUACAUCCUCCGUACAUAUAUAUUGUCGUACUUAAUUGGAAAAGAAAACAAUUAUCCUAUCGGCAAUUGACGCACUAAAGAAAAGGAUUAGUUUGUGAAAACCAAAAUAAAACCAAACAACUCAUUAGAGCUCAUCACUGCUCCAAUUGAAUAUCUUUUUCCAACUAGAUCAAAGAAUAUUGCAGUAUCUGAAAGAGAUAGGGGGCUGGAAGGGAGACGGGGUUACAGACAAAGAUAAAAGAAGUACACUGAAGUCAAGUACCUCCAUAUCUCAACCAAUGUUUGUCUUGUGGUCCUUGUCAGUGCUCGUUCAGGAUCAUUCUGCAAUGAUAAAUGAAAAUUCCACUGAAACAACAAAAAAAACGGAGGGAAAAAAUAAUAACUAGUGCUUGUAAAGCGGAAAGCGUAAAGCCGCAUGGGGCUAGAAGCAAGGAGGUCUAUCGAAAGCGAAAAACUGAGAAGUAAAGUGCACGCUAGAGAAUUAGCGUUCAAAACCAUAAUGUGUGACUACUUAAUAGGGGGAUUCACCGCAAAAUACUAGCUUGGUUCAUUAUUGUCAGGGUAAUAGUCUACUUCUCCAUGUUCUGUGCUUCUUUAAGUUAAUAAAAAUAACAAACAAUCAGGUUCUAGAAGGUUGUAGCCUUGUCCAGUUCCAGUGGAAACUCAAAGCUAAUGCGUCCAAAUAAAACUCAUCAAACAGACUGCCAUAUCAACAAACAACAGAAACAAAAGGAGUUCCGCAACGGAACUCCAACUCCUCAGUUCACAUGUGAAAUAAAGAUAAGAUAAAGAUUAGUAACUAAUCAGGUAAUUGGAGAACAAAUUGAAUAAAGAGCAUAUGCAGAGACAUGUAUACAUACUAAGUAUUAAAAAAAGAAGCUUAUUAGCCAAGGAAUGUCCUACGUUUCAACUAAACAGAUACCAAUAGUUACUUAACAUAACACGCACAAAACUUAAAUAAUUGAGAAAAAUAUAUGACCAUAUUCAUACUAAUCUUAAUAGUAGAAAAAAUCCUUAUGUUAAUCGCAAAAGCACGGUUUAUUUCAGAACUACAUCAAAUAAGUUUCUAACAAAUUCCUUAACCAACCCGGGAGUGAAACAUUAGGUCCUUUACUCGAGAGUAGAUUCAAAGUAGCCUCUCCAGUGUACACUGAAAAUGUUUUGGGUCUUUUGUAUUUUUCAUGAAAUCAGUACCUAUAUUUCAGAUCAAUUCAAGCGAACUUCUAAAAGAAACUGUUUCAGCAUUAAGAAUUCUUGCACCUCUAUACUCAAACAAGAAAAGCAUCAAAGUAUACCAGAUGAUACCCUAAAACAAAACUAUUAGGACCAUUAAACUUCCUGAUGCAUCACCAUACAUUCCCUUUAACAAAGGAAUCCCCGUAACCAAAGUGUUUGGUAAAGUGAAAAGUGAAAACAAAGUAAUGGACCAUUCAAGAGACCCCCUUGAGCUAACUCUAGACCAAAUAGCCAACACAAAAAGAACAAUGAUUUUCUGAGGUGAACCAGCAGCUAUAAACCUAUAGUUCAUUGCACAAAGAUUGUUGGAAGCAAUGAAGUGAAAAAAGAGUAAUGGAACAGCAAAAGAGCAACAAUCUGUUAAUCUCUGAAUAUUGAUAAGGGGUAAAGAUUUUCCACCAUUUUACUGAACCAUAAGCUAAGAUCAUUGCCACGUACAAUGGAAAUACAACAGUAAGAACAUGGUAUAGGUCUGAAAGCGAUAUCAUUUUUUUCUUAAACAAGAUUCAAGAAAUAUAUUGCUACUAUAAAACGGCUAACACCUACCAGUGAUUUUUGUGUGUGGAAGGUGGUAGGUUUUUCGUAAAAUUAGUCAAGGUACGCACAAGCUAGCCUGGACACCACGGUAUUAAAAAAAAAUGAUUAAGGUAUAAUGAAUAUAAUUUUCCCGAAUUUGUAUAUCUUAUGUAUACACACAUAUACAGCCUUGCUUUUUGUCUCUCAAUCCGUUUUUGGGACUUUUGUUAAGGCUUGGACACGACGAAGUUGAAUACGAGGAUAAAUGGAGCCCAAGUGGACUCGAAUUCAUGUCACGUGCAUCAAAGGAAAUAUAAAAAUUAAAAAUCAAACUUAAAUGGAGUAAAUGAACAACAAAGUACAAUUCGUAAACAAAGGAGUUGAGCAAAACAUCAAGAAAUUGAAUACUUAUGAAGUUUGAACAGAUUGAAAUAAUGAAACAAAAGAAAGAGAACUUUAUUUAAAAUAAUUAGAUUCACUAAAAUGAGCCUAAUAUUCAUAGAGGUUUAACCACAAAAGAAAUGCAAGAUGAUAGGACUGUGAUUUAAAUUGCCAAGAAAGUUUCCAAAUAAAUGAAUCCAACAACGACAUUUCUCCGCACCUCAAUGUUCCCCAAAUAACAUCACCCCCAAGUUUGUUUUUAUUAAAGACCGAUUAGAAUAAACAGACUAACUGUGCCACUCAAACUAAAAUGACUGUUUUUUAUAUAUCCUACCCUACACUACUGUGAAUUGUUUUCCACUAUUGCACAUUGAAGCAAAAGCACCCAAGCACAAGAUUAGCUUCGCACUUAAGCCUCAAAUCACCAUUAUGCCAACAAACACCACAUUAUCGAUACAAUACUACUUCCACCAGUCGCCCUACUAAGCUCAUUUACUCAAGGAAUUUUAUACUUCCUAUCAUUUUCUUAUAAUUCGUGUUCAUAUUUCCCAUAAAUCCGAAUACAUAGAAGUAUAAACCAAAACAUCAGCUAUCAUUAAUCACAUCUGACAUUAGCAUUUGUUAUUCAUCAGGUACCACACAUAGAAAAUUAUUAUCAAUGGAUUAGAAAAUUAUUAUCAAUGGAUUGAACAUUUCAGUUCAUACAUCGAAACUGUCCAUAUAUCUCACAUCAGCACCAAAUUGCAACACGAACAUACAAUAUCUUAACAAUCUGUCCUCCCUGUAGCAUUCAAAACAGUAACAAUGCUGCCUUCCGAUGGCACUCUAUUGAGGAUUUAACUCUUUCUAUAAUUUCAACACAAUUUCAAUUCACAUUUUCAAUAUGUCUAGCACUCUUGCCAGCAGAAAAGCAAGAUGGUGGAGUCAAUAUAUGGAUAGAAGUAUAAACCAAAACGCAAGUUCUCAUCACUCUUCAUCAAGCACCACGUAUAGAAAAUUAUAUAUCGAGCAUCCAAAAUCGAAUACGUACACUAUACAUAUUCCUCACUUCAACAUCAAAUCUCAACAACAAAUAUAAUAACUCCACAUAUCAUUCAAAACAGUAAAAUAGUUGUGCAGCUCUAUACACGAAUAAAGUAGAGAUAGCAUAGCAUAGGGCAAAACAACAAUGGCGAAAACUUACACAAUUUCCAUUAUUCGAAACUAUUAUUUUCCAAUAACAACAAAUAUUCAAACCAUCAAUAGAAUUCCAUACGAACACAAAAUCAAAGAUAAUAAAAAGAGAUGGGGUAUUCACCUUUUUUCGAGCAGCAAAACUGGGGCUUCGACGUCCUAGAUUUUUUCGGUGACCAACUCGACUAUGGAACUCCGACUCGGACUAAAUCGAAAGGAAAUGACAAUUUGAGAUUUUUCGAUAAAUUCUACUCAAUUUCUCUAUUUUUUUCCUUUAUUUCGAUCCCUAAAGAAAACACAAAAGAUCCCUUUAGGUGGAAACAUCAAAGCAUUUAGGAAUCAAAAGACACUUGUUGCCAAGUCAAACUCAAGAUCCUGAAAAAACUUUGAGGAAGAUACAAAAGACAGAUCGUUUCAUGACAUACCAUCAGUGCACAUAAGUCAAAACACAUGGUUGGUGUCCUAGCAAGAGUAAGGCCACAAAACAACUACACAAGCAUAAGACCAAAUCAAUUUCAUCUGGUAGAGCACAAUCAGUAUAUAAUUUAGUAAGAACCGCAGUAACAAUAUUUGAUGAAACAAGACAGAACCCAAAAUAUAUGAUGAAACAACACCGAACCCAAAACUUGCAGUAACAAUACACAAAAGGAAAGACGGGAGAAAAAUGCCCUUUUAACUCCAUUAACGCAUGUGUUUGGUUGACCAAUCCCAUCAAACAACAACAAAAAUCAAGAAAAUCACCAACACCCAUGUCAAAAAGAACCCCGAUGAUCACCAGCCAACCAUCAAAAUCAUAACAAAAUCCAAGCUCAAGCUCAUUUGUUAAAGGGUUAAUAAAGGAUUUUGACCACAUACCCUAUGGAGCACAAAUUUUGAGAACCCUAUUUGAGAAAACUAAGAAUUUCAAGCAAAAAUCAAUUGAAGAGAUGAACAGCUUUGACCAACAAUAUUUAAUCAACAGAUUUGAGCAUCUUUUACCAACAAAUCUGACCAAUUUUUUUUAGAAUCGAGAUUUUGGUUGUCCAUAAAGGAAAAAAGGAAACGGCAGCGAUGAAUUUCGGUGAAGAACGAUGAAUUUUAGUGAAGAACGAAGAAUUUUGGUGAAGAGUUAUUUUAAUUUUUUUUCUAAACUUUUU